rnacentral:rRNA from 1 species
CCCUUAGAUGUUCUGGGCCGCACGCGCGCUACACUGACGAAUGCAACGAGCUUAUAACCUUGGCCGAAAGGUCUGGGUAAUCUCCAAAUUUCGUCGUGAUGGGGAUAGAUUAUUGCAAUUAUUAAUCUUCAACGAGGAAUGCCUAGUAAGCGCAAGUCAUCAGCUUUCGUUGAUUACGUCCCUGCCCUUUGUACACACCGCCCGUCGCUCCUACCGAUUGAAUGGUCCGGUGAAGCGUUCGGACCGUGGCCUUUGGACGGUUCGCCGUCUGUUGGCUGCGGGAAGUUCGUUAAACCUUAUCAUUUAGAGGAAGGAGAANUCGUANCA